rnacentral:tRNA from 1 species
GCAUUGGUAUCUUGGUGGUAGAAUUCUCAACUUCUGCGCGGGAGACCUGGGUUUAAUUCCCAGCCAGUGCA